rnacentral:rRNA from 1 species
CACGUAGGGGACGAGCGUUGUCCGGAUUCAUUGGGCGUAAAGCGCGCGUAGGCGGCUCGGUAAGUCGGAUGUGAAAUCUCCAGGCUCAACCUGGAGGGGUCAUUCGAUACUGCCGUGACUAGAGGUCGGUAGGGGAGUGUGGAAUUCCUGGUGGAGCGGUGAAAUGCGCAGAUAUCAGGAGGAACACCCGUAGCGAAGGCGGCACUCUGGGCCGAUUCUGACACUGAGGAGCGAAAGCGUGGGGAGCGAACAGG